UGGAGAUUUUGUAAAAGAUUACUUAGAUUUAUGAAAAAUGGUUAAAGAUUGGACUAUAAAGGGCAAUAACUCCUAAAGGGGUCAACUGACCAUUUUUGGUCAUGUUGACUUAUUUGUAGAUCUUACUUUGCUGAACAUUAUUGCUGUUUACAGUUUAUCUCUAUCUAUAAUAAUAUUCAAGAUAAUAACCAAAAACGGCAAAAUUUCCUCAAAAUUACCAAUUCAGGGGCAGCAACCCAACAACAGGUUGACCGAUUCAUCUGAAAAUUUCAGGGCAGAUAGAUCUUGACCUGAUAAACAUUUUUACCCCCAUCAGAUUUCCUCUAAAUGCUUUGGUUUUUGAGUUAUAAGCCAAAAACUGCAUUUUACCCCUAUGUUCUAUUUUUAGCCGUGGCGGCCAUCUUGUUGGUUGACCGGGUCACGCCACACAUUUUUUAAACUAGAUACCCUAAAGAUGAUUGUGGCCAAGUUUGGAUUAAUUUGGCCCAGUAGUUUCAGAGGAGAAGAUUUUUGUAAAAGAUUACUUAGAUUUAUGAAAAAUGGUUAAAAAUUGACUAUAAAGGGCAAUAACUCCUAAAGGGGUCAACUGACCAUUUCGGUCAUGUUGACUUAUUUGUAAAUCUAACUUUGCUGAACAUUAUUGCUGUUUACAGUUUAUCUCUAUCUAUAAUAAUAUUCAAGAUAAUAACCAAAAACAGCAAAAUUU
rnacentral:lncRNA from 1 species